UGCGGUAUCGCCCAGCGGCUAGGGCAGGAGCCUCAUAAGCUUCACGGCGGCGGUUCGAAUCCGCCUACCGCAACCA
rnacentral:tRNA from 1 species